GAGCCAAUAGAAGAGUACAACUGGAAAUGAGAGUGACGGCCAAGCCCUGCGAACACCGAGCAUGAAUUUCAAUAAUCUUCUAAGUCAGAAGCCUCGAGCAAAUAUCCGCCACUAGAUCCGAAGUGUCUGAAUCUGUACACGAGGUAAAUGGGAUAACAUGAGUACACCAACUCAGUAAGUAACAAGUCCAACCUAUGGACUGACAGGUAGUGACAGACCAAACCUCAAGAGGCAAUUUAGCAGUAAACGGAAUAGAAAUGUAGACAUG
rnacentral:lncRNA from 1 species